rnacentral:tRNA from 1 species
UGCGGGGUAGAGAAGUGGUCAUCUCGCCAUCCUCAUAAGUUGGAAAUCGUGGGUUCGAGUCCCACCCCCGCAACCA